rnacentral:rRNA from 1 species
UGAGGAAUAUUGCGCAAUGGGCGAAAGCCUGACGCAGCGACGCCGCGUGGAGGAUGAAGGUUUUCGGAUUGUAAACUCCUGUUAAGUGGGAAGAAACGACAAAAUAUAAUACAUUUUGUAACUGACGGUACCAUUAAAGAAAGCACCGGCUAACUUCGUGCCAGCAGCCGCGGUAAUACGAGGGGUGCAAGCGUUAUUCGGAAUUAUUGGGCGUAAAGGGUGCGUAGGCGGCGUAUUAAGUCAACUGUUAAAACCUCCAGCCUAACUGGAGAUCAGCAGUAGAUACUGGUAUGCUAGAGGAUGGAAGAGAGAAGUGGAAUUCUUGGAGUAGCGGUGGAAUGCGUAGAUCUCAAGAGGAACACCAAUGGCGAAGGCAGCUUCUUGGUCCAUAUCUGACGCUGAUGCACGAAAGCGUGGGGAGCAAACAGGAUUAGAUAUCCUGGUAGUCCACGCCGUAAACGAUGAUCACUAGAUGUUAAUUCUGCUUGCAGAAUUAGUGUCGUAGCUAACGCGAUAAGUGAUCCGCCUGGGGGACUACGGUCGCAAGAUUAAAACUCAAA